AUUCCAAAUCAACAGACCCCAUUACCGAGAUAUGACAACUCUUUUUAAAAUAAAUAGUAAAAAAAUGUAUCGAAUCCAUUUUUUAUUUUGGAACUAAGUUCCCAUUCCACUUGGUUAGGACUUACUCUUUACUAUAUGUUAAUACUAAACUGGGCUUACUCGCUUGGCAAGAAAGAAGUACUUCCGGUCGAUAGAAAGCACCCCUUGAAGGUGAGUAGUACGGCCGUUCUCCAGUAGUUUCAAGG
rnacentral:lncRNA from 1 species